AUUGAACGCUGGCGGCAGGCCUAACACAUGCAAGUCGAGCGGCAGCGGGAAAGUAGCUUGCUACUUUUGCCGGCGAGCGGCGGACGUGUGAGUAAUGCCUGGGAAAUUGCCCAGUCGAGGGGGAUAACAGUUGGAAACGACUGCUAAUACCGCAUACGCCCUACGGGGGAAAGCAGGGGACUUUCGGGCCUUGCGCGAUUGGAUAUGCCCAGGUGGGAUUAGCUAGUUGGUGAGGUAAUGGCUCACCAAGGCGACGAUCCCUAGCUGGUCUGAGAGGAUGAUCAGCCACACUGGAACUGAGACACGGUCCAGACUCCUACGGGAGGCAGCAGUGGGGAAUAUUGCACAAUGGGGGAAACCCUGAUGCAGCCAUGCCGCGUGUGUGAAGAAGGCCUUCGGGUUGUAAAGCACUUUCAGCGAGGAGGAAAGGUUGAUGCCUAAUACGUAUCAACUGUGACGUUACUCGCAGAAGAAGCACCGGCUAACUCCGUGCCAGCAGCCACCGUAAGAC
rnacentral:rRNA from 1 species